rnacentral:rRNA from 1 species
AUUGAACGCUGGCGGCAUGCUUUACACAUGCAAGUCGAACGGCAGCACGGACUUCGGUCUGGUGGCGAGUGGCGAACAGGUGAGUAAUACAUCGGAACGUACCCAGUAAUGGGGGAUAACUAUCCGAAAGGAUAGCUAAUACCGCAUACGCCCUACGGGGGAAAGAGGGGGAUCGCAAGACCUCUUGUUAUUGGAGCGGCCGAUGGCUGAUUAGCUAGUUGGUGGGGUAAAGGCCUACCAAGGCAACGAUCAGUAGCGGGUCUUAGAGGACGGACCGCCACACUGGAACGGAGACGAGGUCCAGGCUCCUACGGGGGGCGGAAGGGGGGAAUCUUGGACAAUGGGCGCAAGCCUGAUCCAGCAAUGCCGCGUGCGUGAAGAAGGCCUUCGGGUUGUAAAGCGCUUUUGUCAGGGAGCAAAUCCUUGUGGCUAAUACCCACCGGGGAUGAGAGUACCUGAAGAAUAAGGACCGGCUAACUACGUGCCAGCCGCCGCAGUAAAAC